rnacentral:rRNA from 1 species
AAAAAAGGUAAGCUACUAAGAGCGAAUGGUGGAUGCCUUGACUGGUAAAGGCGAUGAAGGACGUACUAGACUGCGAUAAGCUACGGGGAGCUGUCAAGAAGCUUUGAUCCGUAGAUUUCCGAAUGGGGCAACCCAAUGUAUAGAGAUAUGCAUUACCUAUAUAGGAGCGAACGAGGGGAAUUGAAACAUCUUAGUACCCUCAGGAAAAGAAAUCAAUAGAGAUUGCGUCAGUAGCGGCGAGCGAAAGCGCAAGAGGGCAAACCCAGUGCUUGCACUGGGGGUUGUAGGACUGCAAUGUGCAAGAGCUGAGUUUAGCAGAACAUUCUGGAAAGUAUAGCCAUAGAGGGUGAUAGUCCCGUAUGCGAAAAACAAAGCUUAGCUAGCAGUAUCCUGAGUAGGGCGGGACACGAGGAAUCCUGUCUGAAUCCGGGUCGACCACGAUCCAACCCUAAAUACUAAUACCAGAUCGAUAGUGCACAAGUACCGUGAGGGAAAGGUGAAAAGAACUGAGGUGAUCAGAGUGAAAUAGAACCUGAAACCAUUUGCUUACAAUCAUUCAGAGCACUAUGUAGCAAUACAGUGUGAUGGACUGCCUUUUGCAUAAUGAGCCUGCGAGUUGUGGUGUCUGGCAAGGUUAAGCAAACGCGAAGCCGUAGCGAAAGCGAGUCUGAAUAGGGCGCUUAGUCAGAUGUUGCAGACCCGAAACGAAGUGAUCUAUCCAUGAGCAAGUUGAAGCUAGUGUAAGAACUAGUGGAGGACUGAACCCAUAGGCGUUGAAAAGCCCCGGGAUGACUUGUGGAUAGGGGUGAAAGGCCAAUCAAACUUCGUGAUAGCUGGUUCUCUCCGAAAUAUAUUUAGGUAUAGCGUUGUGUCGUAAUAUAAGGGGGUAGAGCACUGAAUGGGCUAGGGCAUACACCAAUGUACCAAACCCUAUCAAACUCCGAAUACCUUAUAUGUAAUCACAGCAGUCAGGCGGCGAGUGAUAAAAUCCGUCGUCAAGAGGGAAACAACCCAGACUACCAGCUAAGGUCCCUAAAUCUUACUUAAGUGGAAAACGAUGUGAAGUUACUUAAACAACCAGGAGGUUGGCUUAGAAGCAGCCAUCCUUUAAAGAAAGCGUAAUAGCUCACUGGUCUAGUGAUUUUGCGCGGAAAAUAUAACGGGGCUAAAGU